GUGGGUGUAGCUCAACGGUUAGAGCACCAGGCUGUGGACCUGGGAGUUGAGGGUUCGAAACCCUUCACCCACCCCA
rnacentral:tRNA from 1 species